AUUGAACGCUGGCGGCAGGCCUAACACAUGCAAGUCGAGCGGCAGCGGGAAAGUAGCUUGCUACUUUUGCCGGCGAGCGGCGGACGGGUGAGUAAUGCCUGGGAAAUUGCCCAGUCGAGGGGGAUAACAGUUGGAAACGACUGCUAAUACCGCAUACGCCCUACGGGGGAAAGCAGGGGACCUUCGGGCCUUGCGCGAUUGUCUGAACCAAGGUGGGAUUAGCUAGUUGGUGAGGUAACGGCUCACCAAGGCGACGAUCCCUAGCUGGUCUGUGAGGAUGAUCAGCCACACUGGGACUGAGACACGGCCCAGACUCCUACGGGAGGCAGCAGUGGGGAAUAUUGCACAAUGGGGGAAACCCUGAUGCAGCCAUGCCGCGUGUGUGAAGAAGGCCUUCGGGUUGUAAAGCACUUUCAGCGAGGAGGAAAGGUUGAUGCCUAAUACGUAUCAACUGUGACGUUACUCGCAGAAGAAGCACCGGCUAACUCCGUGCCAGCAGCCGCCGUAAUAC
rnacentral:rRNA from 1 species